rnacentral:rRNA from 1 species
AAUGAACGCUGGCGGCACGCCUAACACAUGCAAGUCGAACGAAGGCUUCGGCCUUAGUGGCGCACGGGUGCGUAACGCGUGGGAAUCUGCCCUCAGGUUCGGAAUAACAGCGAGAAAUUGCUGCUAAUACUGGAUGAUAUCGCGAGAUCAAAGAUUUAUCGCCUGAGGAUGAGCCCGCGUAGGAUUAGCUAGUUGGUGUGGUAAAGGCGCACCAAGGCGACGAUCCUUAGCUGGUCUGAGAGGAUGAUCAGCCACACUGGGACUGAGACACGGCCCAGACUCCUACGGGAGGCAGCAGUGGGGAAUAUUGGACAAUGGGCGAAAGCCUGAUCCAGCAAUGCCGCGUGAGUGAUGAAGGCCUUAGGGUUGUAAAGCUCUUUUACCCGGGAUGAUAAUGACAGUACCGGGAGAAUAAGCUCCGGCUAACUCCGUGCCAGCCGCCGCAGUAA